GUGCUCACUUCAACAGCACAUAUACUAAACUCAGAAUGCACAGAGAAGAUUGGCACGGUCCCUAUGUAAAGUUGACAUGCAAAUUUGUGAAAUAUUCCAUAGAUAG